rnacentral:rRNA from 2 species
UGACGCAGCAACGCCGCGUGGGCGAAGAAGGUCUUCGGAUCGUAAAGCCCUUUUCUCUCGGACGAGGAAGGACGGUACGGGAGGAAUAAGCGUCGGCUAACUACGUGCCAGCAGCCGCGGUAAAACGUAGGACGCAAGCGUUAUCCGGAUUUAUUGGGCGUAAAGGGCGUCUAGGCGGCGUCUUAAGUUGGGCGUGAAAUCUUCCGGCUCAACCGGAAGGGUGCGUCCAAUACUGGGACGCUUGAGGACAGCAGAGGGAGGUGGAAUUCCCGGAGUAGCGGUGGAAUGCGUAGAUAUCGGGAGGAACACCAGUGGCGAAGGCGGCCUCCUGGGCUGUACCUGACGCUGAAGCGCGAAAGCGUGGGGAGCAAACGGGAUUAGAUACCCCGGUAGUCCACGCCGUAAACGAUGGAUACUAGGUGUCGGUGGUAUUGACCCCAUCGGUGCCGCAGCUAACGCAUUAAGUAUCCCGCCUGG